UUUUCUUCCCGAGCUGGCAAUCAUCUUUGAGAGAAGUCAUUGAAACCCUGGAUUUCCAUGAGUCUCCAUGGUGGAUAGUUUUUUGAGCGUAAGGAAAGAACAAAAGAGAGAGGGAAAGAAAUGGUUGUCGUUGCAACAGAGUAUCUGGUUGCUCCGACUAGGCGUCAAUUUGCGUACUGUAAUGUUUGAUGAGAGCUCAGUAAGGAUCUUCGAGAUGGAGUGGAUGAGAUGAAAGCCAAGAGUUUCCGUUGGUGAGGCCGAGUUGAUGUUAAGAAAUGGUCGGUAGCGUGGGGGCGCAUCACCAUGUUAAGAAAUGGUCGGUAGCGUGGUUUCCGAACCCCAGGGCCCGGUUCUUGAUCGGUAUGGAUUGGAGGAAGAUGAUUUGGGUCUUUAUGGGGCUUUCUGUGGAAAGCUGGAAGAGUUGCCUCCAGAAGUUUUACCAGUGUACUCGGAUGGUCAUUGGCAUCGCUUUUGCCGCAAGAUCAGAUGCCUUGGAGUCCAGGACUGCAAUCAACAGUGUCAUUGUGAUGGGAGUGUAUCGACAGCUACUGGAUGAUGUAAAAAGGCUACUUAUGGAAGAGAAGCUGUUCGAUGUUUUUGUUGAGGUGACUUUAUUACUUCACAGAUGUGCUGUUCUUAAAGGGCUCGUGGAGAAUUCUCUUAUGCAUUGAGCUUGAAGCUGAUUAAUGAUGAAACUGCACUUGGAACUGUGGAUCUUCUUCAGAAGAAGUUCGAAGAUGACUCAAUGAGGAAAAUGCUCAUCAUGUAUCAGCAUCUAGUAAAGGAAGAGAAGUCGUUUGAUGUGAAAAAAAAGUCUUUUGAUGUUCAAUAUGGAUGUCAAGGCAAUUUUACCACAUCAAAGACAUGCACAUAUAGAAUUCAUGGAGAAUUCUUUUAUGCAUUGGAUUUGAAGUUGACUAAUGAGGAAACUGUACUUGGAAUUGCGGAUCUUCUUCGAAAGAGCUUAGGAGAUGAUCUGAAGUGGAAAAUUGUCAUCAUUUAGAUGACAUAGGAAGAUCCUAUAAAUAAAGGAUGAGGAUGCAAGUUGUUGUUGACAUGUAGAUUUAGAUAAAUUACUCGUCCAUUGGGCUUGAAGUUGGUUAAUAAGGAAAACAUAUUCGGAUUUAUGGAUCUUCUAAGUAAGAGGUUAGAGAGUGAUCAUAAGAAGAAAAAUCUCAUAAUUUUCGAUAAUUUGUACACUAAAGUACCACUAGGAAAUGAUAAAAAAACAAUAGGUUGUAAGUUAUUGCGAUAUGAUGAAAUCUAGAUAUUUUGUGCAUUGAUGUGGGCUCUUGGACCAAGAGUUUAUACUCCAUGAGUUGAAGGAUAUCAGCAAUGAUUACGAGUCGAAACACAGUGCUCAAGAAUUGUGCAAGCAUGCCUUUGGCAGCAUAAACAUUGAAGCAUGGGAGUCCAAUUGCUUAGAGGAUAGAUGUAAACUUGAUAGUAGUAUUGAGCUAGAAGGAUUUGGAAGAUAUUGUUCUUAAGCAUUGGCCUUCUUGGUGGAACAACCUCAAUCAAGAUCCUAUCAUCUUGGAACAUUUAAAGAUUUCAAUAAUAGCAAUAGCAUAGAGGGCGCUAGGUAUAAGCCGACUGAAGAUCUAAACACCUUGCCGGCCUCUUCUUUGUUGCUUGGAUAAUGAUGACAGGUGAGGAGGAAUGAUCAUGGGGGUAAAGAGUCGCCAAAUGAUGAAGCUCAAAGAAAUAUGCUGGGAUACUUUCCUCUUCUGUACAGAAGUUACUUAUGUCUGGCUUUUUCAGGUUUCCUUGUUGUGUUUGUGAGUCUUUGGCAUUGUUUGAGCUUCCCAAACCGAAAGGGAUGUGGAAACUAUCUAUUUGCAUCGGAUUUUACAAUGUGCAAUUGCCUUUGCAAAUUUUGGGUUUGCCAUUGCCUUGACUUCAUUUUUCAAGUGGAAGGCACGAAAAGGCAGGGUAUUCCUGAGUAAACAAUGUAUAGCUCAGAUUGUGUCAUGCUUACAUUUUCUUUCUUUCUGGUUUUUUGGCAAUUUUUCAGUUUGAUCAGAUACCUUAGAAAGCAUUUGAACUCUUCCCUGCUGAAUUAGAUCAUCGGAUUAUCUUGUUUUGUACUCAAGAUCAUUGAAAGCUGAUGCACACAUAGCCCUUAUAAACAUGAGGGCAUAUGAGCACAA